rnacentral:rRNA from 1 species
GAUGAACGCUGGCGGCGUGCCUAAUACAUGCAAGUCGAGCGAACAGACGAGGAGCUUGCUCCUUCGACGUUAGCGGCGGACGGGUGAGUAACACGUAGGUAACCUACCUAUAAGACUGGGAUAACUUCGGGAAACCGGAGCUAAUACCGGAUAAGAUUUCGAACCGCAUGGUUCGAUAGUGAAAGAUGGCUUUGCUAUCACUUAUAGAUGGACCUGCGCCGUAUUAGCUAGUUGGUAAGGUAACGGCUUACCAAGGCAACGAUACGUAGCCGACCUGAGAGGGUGAUCGGCCACACUGGAACUGAGACACGGUCCAGACUCCUACGGGAGGCAGCAGUAGGGAAUCUUCCGCAAUGGGCGAAAGCCUGACGGAGCAACGCCGCGUGAGUGAUGAAGGUCUUCGGAUCGUAAAACUCUGUUAUUAGGGAAGAACAAAAGUGUAAGUAACUGUGCACGUCUUGACGGUACCUAAUCAGAAAGCCACGGCUAACUACGUG